AAAAAGUUCUAAAUUUUCGGUUGCUAACUGCAACCUUCAUCAGAGUACUAAGAGCAGUUCGGAUAGUUCAAGGUUUUAAAUAUCGUCAUUAUUGCCACAUGAUUGCACAAGCGAUAAAUACAUGCGUGGGAAUUCUUUGUGUUCGUUAAUUGUUUUAUUGUCUAAUAUUGAAUGCAUCGACUCGAGGAACGUUCGUUUUUCUAAAUUAUGUACUCUUUUCUCUAAGAUUGUAGCAUUGUUAAUAGAGGCAUUGUGUCCUGUGCUUUCUGCGUGGUCUUUGAUUGCUGACUUAAUCUCCGGUCUUACGCCUGGUUUGUGUUCUGCCCAACGUGAUUUCCACGACCUCUUACUUUCUCCAACAUACUUAAAUGAGCAAUCUGGACAUUCGAAUUUAUAAACAAUGCCUUUAAUCUCCGUGAUCUUCUGCUUGUCUUUUGGUUUACCAAAAAUGUCCCCUAAGCUUGGCAUGGGUUUAUAUAUUGUCUUAAUACCAGCACUUUUAAGCAGCUGUUUUAUCUGUUCUGAUAUGCCUUUCAUGUAUGGAAUACAAGAUAACCCUUUAAUUUCCGGUUCGUCAUUAGUGUUGGAAAACGACCUGCUGGAACUUGUCUGGAAGAUGAAUUUCUCUGGAUAUCCGUUGAGCUUUAAUUCUUGGACAACACACUCCUUUUCUUGCUGUUUUUUAUUGUCAGUAGAAGGAAUGCUGUCGGCUCGAUCAAGUAAGGUCUUAACUACGGCUCGCUUACUUUGGGUGGGAUUAUGAGAGUGAAAGGAUAGAUAUUUAUUGGUAUGUGUAUCCUUACGGUAUACACUUACUUCAAUGGUACGGUUUUUAAGAAUGGUAAUGUGGGUAUCAAGGAAAGAAAUUGCUUCACCGUGGUUUGAUUCUGAUGGCAAUUCAAUUGUAAACUGAAUGUUUUUGUUGAUAGUGUUCAGGUGAGUGUGGAAUUGUUCAAUGUCACUUUUGCGUAGACAUGAAUUGGAGUCGUCAACAUAUCUUCGCCACCAGCGUACUGGGACAGGUGACGUGUUGAUGGCAAUUGACUCUAUCUCUUGCAUUACUAUCUCAGCUAUGACUGCACUAACAGGUGAUCCCAUGGCGCAUCCUGACUUCUGAUGAUAGUGUGUCUCAUUGAAUUUAAAGUAACAAUUGUUUAGUAGGAAUUUUAAUAGUUUCACAACUUGUUCUUCUUUCAGUGCUGUAUGUGACUUCCAUGAAUCAGUUUCUUUAAGUUUCUUUUGUACAAUAUGCAAGGCAAACGGAACAGGUAUGGAUGUGAAUAAGGACACAACAUCAAAAGAGACGAUCGUUUCAUCCGUCCCUAACGUUUGACUUUUGGCAAAAUCAGCGAAUUCUUUCCCAUUUCUUAUAGAAAACUCGUUUUUUGCGCAAAAGGUCUUUAACAAUUUUGCAAGGUAUUUUGAUAGGGAAUAUGUAGGUGAACCAAUGUUGCUGUUAAUUGGACGUAAAGGAAUGACGUCCACAGAACUUUCGCCCAGGGUAUAGUGGUCUUGGUUGCAGAUGAGAGACACUUUAUGGACUUUUGGCAAA
rnacentral:lncRNA from 1 species